GAUCUUGACAUAUAGAUAAUUAUGUCCAAAUUGUGAGAUUUCUUUUUUCCGUUGGUAAAGUUUAAUUAAGUUGUAUAUACUGUAUAUACCAAAACAUAGUCAUUAGUCAUAAUGACAUAUAGACAAUUUUUUUGUUUAUCAUUAAUCUGAUGGAAAUAAAGAUAGGCUCGUGCAUGGCACAUGAAAAUGGUAAUCAUUUUUUUUUUUUUUUUUUUUUUUUGCUAAACGAAAAUGGUAAUCAUAAUGUCAAAGUACUAAUACAAUUGCUAAUAAAUCCAACUAAUUCAUCAUAAUAAUUAAAACGAGAUGGCUGGAAAUCAUAGAUUCAUUAACAUGAACUUAUCAUCAGUACGUAUUAAUCACAAAGCGACAUAUGUCUGAGUAAUGAAUGAUCAUCCUUUAUCCAAUUUAUAUAUAAUCUCUCCG
rnacentral:lncRNA from 1 species